UGCCAGCAGCCGCGGUAAUACGGAGGGUGCAAGCGUUAAUCGGAAUUACUGGGCGUAAAGCGUGUGUAGGCGGUCUGCUAAGUCGGAUGUGAAAGCCCCGGGCUUAACCUGGGAAUUGCAUUCGAUACUGCAUGGCUAGAGUAUGGUAGAGGGAAGUGGAAUUUCCGGUGUAGCGGUGAAAUGCGUAGAUAUGUGGAGGAACAUCAGUGGCGAAGGCGACUUCUUGGCCCAAUACUGACGCUCAGGUGCGAAAGCGUGGGGAGCAAACAGGAUUAGAUA
rnacentral:rRNA from 1 species